GGAUUAGAUACCCGGGUAGUCCACGCCGUAAACGUUGGGCGCUAGAUGUGGGGACCAUUCCACGGUUUCCGUGUCGUAGCUAACGCAUUAAGCGCCCCGCCUGGGGAGUACGGCCGCAAGGCUAAAACUCAAAGGAAUUGACGGGGGCCCGCACAAGCGGCGGAGCAUGCGGAUUAAUUCGAUGCAACGCGAAGAACCUUACCAAGGCUUGACAUAUACCGGAAACGGCUGGAAACAGUCGCCCCCUUGUGGUCGGUAUACAGGUGGUGCAUGGUUGUCGUCAGCUCGUGUCGUGAGAUGUUGGGUUAAGUCCCGCAACGAGCGCAACCCUCGUUCUAUGUUGCCAGCGGUUCGGCCGGGAACUCAUAGGAGACUGCCGGGGUCAACUCGGAGG
rnacentral:rRNA from 1 species